rnacentral:ncRNA from 17 species
GCUAGGGUCCAGUCCGAUGGUGUCCCGGAGACGGGAUGAAAAGGGAACAUGGUCGAACGCCAUGACUGCCCCCGCAACUGUAGGUGAAGAGUGUGCGAACGUGGACCCGCCAAGGGUUCAGCCACUGGGACUAUCCCCCCGGGAAGGCCAGUUCGCACAUCAUGACGCGCAAGUCAGGAGACCUGCCAUCACACGGGGUCACGGA